UACGUAGGUGGCAAGCGUUGUCCGGAAUUAUUGGGCGUAAAGCGCGCGCAGGCGGUCCUUUAAGUCUGAUGUGAAAGCCCACGGCUCAACCGUGGAGGGUCAUUGGAAACUGGGGGACUUGAGUGCAGAAGAGGAAAGCGGAAUUCCACGUGUAGCGGUGAAAUGCGUAGAGAUGUGGAGGAACACCAGUGGCGAAGGCGGCCUUCUGGUCUGUAACUGACGCUGAGGCGCGAAAGCGUGGGGAGCAAACAGG
rnacentral:rRNA from 1 species